rnacentral:rRNA from 1 species
UAGGGAAUCUUCCGCAAUGGACGCAAGUCUGACGGAGCAACGCCGCGUGAGUGAAGAAGGUUUUCGGAUCGUAAAACUCUGUUGUUAGAGAAGAACAAGUGCUGGAGUAACUGUUAGCGCCUUGACGGUAUCUAACCAGAAAGCCACGGCUAACUACGUGCCAGCAGCCGCGGUAAUACGUAGGUGGCAAGCGUUGUCCGGAUUUAUUGGGCGUAAAGCGAGCGCAGGCGGUUCCUUAAGUCUGAUGUGAAAGCCCCCGGCUCAACCGGGGAGGGUCAUUGGAAACUGGGGAACUUGAGUGCAGAAGAGGAGAGUGGAAUUCCAUGUGUAGCGGUGAAAUGCGUAGAUAUAUGGAGGAACACCAGUGGCGAAGGCGACUCUCUGGUCUGUAACUGACGCUGAGGCUCGAAAGCGUGGGUAGCAAACAGGAUUAGAUACNNNNNNUNGGUCCACGCCGUAAACGAUGAGUGCUAAGUGUUGGAGGGUUUCCGCCCUUCAGUGCUGCAGUUAACGCAUUAAGCACUCCGCCUGGGGAGUACGACCGCAAGGGUUG